rnacentral:rRNA from 1 species
GACGAACGCUGGCGGCGUGCCUAAUACAUGCAAGUCGAGGGACCGGCGCACGGGUGAGUAACACGUAUCCAACCUGCCCUUUACUCGGGGAUAGCCUUUCGAAAGAAAGAUUAAUACCCGAUAUAAAGGAUGGGGAUGCGUUCCAUUAGGUUGUUGGUGAGGUAACGGCUCACCAAGCCUUCGAUGGAUAGGGGUUCUGAGAGGCAGGUGCCCCACAUUGGAAAUGAGGCACGGUGCAAACUCCUACGUGAGGCAGCAGUGGGGAAUAUUGGUCACUGGGCGCUCGCCUGAGCCCGCCAAGUAGCGGAAAGGAUGACGGCUUAUGGGUCGUUAACUUCUUUUCUAUAAGAAUAUUUAUUAUAUGAAUAAGGAUCGGCUAACUCCGUGCCAGCCGCCGCGGUAAUUC